GUGCUCCUUUCAGCAGCACAAAUACUAAAAUUGGACCCAUUCAGAGGGGAAUAGCAUGGCCCUUGCACAAGGAUAACACACAAAUUCAUGAAGUGCUCCAUAUUUUU
rnacentral:snRNA from 1 species